rnacentral:rRNA from 1 species
GACGAACGCUGGCGGCGUGCUUAACACAUGCAAGUCGAACGGAAAGGCCUGCUUUCCCUUGUGGAUUGCGGGUACUCGCGUGGCGAACGGGUGAGUAACACGUGAGUGAUCUGCCCCCAACUUGGGUAUAAGCCUGGGAAACUGGGUCUAAUUCCCGAUAGGACUGCAGGGUGGUGCCUGUGGUGGAAAACGAUUUUCUAGUGGUUGGGGAUGAGCUCGCGGCCUAUCAGCUUGUUGGUGGGGUAAUGGCCUACCAAGGCGGCGACGGGUAGCCGGCCUGGGAGGGUGGACGGCCACAUUGGGACUGAGAUACGGCCCAGACUCCUACGGGAGGCAGCAGUGGGGAAUAUGGCACAAUGGGCGGAAGCCUGAGGCAGCGACGCCGCGUGGGGGAUGACGGCCUUCGGGUUGUAAACUCCUUUCGACCGCGAGGAAGCCACCUGGUUGGAAGGGUGGUGACGGUAGUGGUAGAAGAAGCACCGGCUAACUACGUG